GAUGAACGCUGGCGGCGUGCCUAAUACAUGCAAGUCGAGCGAACAGAUAAGGAGCUUGCUCCUUUGACGUUAGCGGCGGACGUGUGAGUAACACGUGGAUAACCUACCUAUAAUACUGGGAUAACUUCGAGAAACCGGAGCUAAUACCGGAUAACAUAUUGAACCGCAUGGUUCAAUAGUGAAAGGCGGCUUUGCUGUCUCUUAUAGAUGCAUCCGCGCCGUAUUAGCUAGUUGGUAAGGUAACGGCUUAGCAAGGCAACGAUACGUAGCCGACCUGAGAGGGUGAUCGGCCACACUAGAACGGGAACACGGUCAAGCCUACUACGGGACGCAGCAGUAGGGAAUCUUCCGCAAUGGGCGAAAGCCUGACGGAGCAACGCCGCGUGAGUGAUGAAGGUCUUCGGAUCGUAAAACUCUGUUAUCAGGGAAGAACAAAUGUGUAAGUAACUGUGCACAUAUUGACGGUACCUGAUCAGAAAGCCACGGCUAACUACGUG
rnacentral:rRNA from 1 species